rnacentral:rRNA from 1 species
UACGUAGGGUGCGAGCGUUAAUCGGAAUUACUGGGCGUAAAGCGCGCGCAGGCGGUCGCGUAAGUCUGCUGUGAAAUCUCCCUGGCUCAACCGGGAGGGGGCGGCGGAGACUGCGGGACUGGAGGGACCUAGAGGCCGGUGGAAUUCCCGGUGUAGCGGUGAAAUGCGCAGAUAUCGGAAGGAACACCUGUGGCGAAAGCGGCUCACUGGACCAUUACUGACGCUGAUGCACGAAAGCUAGGGGAGCAAACAGG